UAUAACCGGGCUCUGAGCAGGUGCAGU
rnacentral:piRNA from 1 species